rnacentral:misc_RNA from 1 species
AGAAGGAAGCAGUAACAAUACAAACGAGGAGCACACUGUCGUUUGCUCGUUGAAAACAGCAGUGCCCUCCAACGCAACACGACGCGAAUCGCCUCUCCUUUGAUUCACCGCCGCAGCAAUCCCACUUUCACGCACCCCCCCCCUCCCCUCCCCAGCUCUCUCUCCCUCUUUCUCUCCCAAGGCGGCAACCGAUUAUCCCACCUCAGUGUUGUUUCACCCACACCUUUGGAUACGAGUAAGACGGGCUCCCCAGUUGCAACAGUAACACGGUGCAAUGUGGUGAAGACGAGCGUAUCCUUGUCUCCCAUCCCUUUUUGUUCUGCUCUCAUUAUUCUUCUGUUGCUGUUUUUGACUCUCGGAUAGUGGUGUGGAGCGUGCGUGUGUGGAUAUGUGUGCUCGUUACAGGCUAUCCUGUCACCAUCGCCACUCGCCGUUCUCUCGCUGCCUGUCUGUGUGUGUGUGCGUGUGCCAGCGACUGUAUACGGAUAGCGUGGGUGUGUAUGCAUGCGCGCGCUUCUUUUAUUUCGUCUCAGUGUGCUCAUUCUAGACCUUCGUCCCUCCCACCCCAUCAUCCCUCUUUUUUUUUUCGGAAG